UUUCUUACCUGGCAGGGGAGAUACCAUGAUCAUGAAGGUGGUUUUCCCAGGGUGAGGCUCAUCCAUUGCACUGCGGGUGUGCUGAUCCCUGCGAUUUCCCCAAAUGCGAGAAACUCGACUGCAUAAUUUGUGAUAGUGGGGGACUGCAUUCGCGCUUUCCCCGG
ensembl:snRNA U1 U1 spliceosomal RNA